CCUACGGGUGGCAGCAGUGAGGAAUAUUGGUCAAUGGACGGAAGUCUGAACCAGCCAUGCCGCGUGCAGGAAGACGGCUCUAUGAGUUGUAAACUGCUUUUGUACAAGGGUAAACCUGAAUACGUGUAUUCAGCUGAAAGUACUGUACGAAUAAGGAUCGGCUAACUCCGUGCCAGCAGCCGCGGUAAUACGGAGGAUCCAAGCGUUAUCCGGAUUUAUUGGGUUUAACGGGUGCGUAGGCGGUUGGAUAAGUUAGAGGUGAAAUCUCCGAGCUUAACUCGGGAACUGCCUCUAACACUGUUGAUCUAGAGAUUAGAUGCGGUAGGCGGAAUGUAUGGUGUAGCGGUGAAAUGCUUAGAGAUCAUACAGAACACCGAUUGCGAAGGCAGCCUGCCAAGCCAUGACUGACGCUGAUGCACGAAAGCGUGGGGAGCAAACAGGAUUAGAUACCCCAGUAGUC
rnacentral:rRNA from 1 species